GGAUAACUACCGGAAACGGUAGCUAAUACCGGAUAAUUUAUUUCGCAGCAUUGUGGAAUAAUGAAAGACGGAGCAAUCUGUCACUUGGGGAUGGGCCUGCGGCGCAUUAGCUAGUUGGUGGGGUAAUGGCNCACCAAGGCGACGAUGCGUAGCCGACCUGAGAGGGUGAACGGCCACACUGGGACUGAGACACGGCCCAGACUCCUACGGGAGGCAGCAGUAGGGAAUCUUCCGCAAUGGGCGAAAGCCUGACGGAGCAACGCCGCGUGAGUGAUGAAGGUUUUCGGAUCGUAAAGCUCUGUUGCCAAGGAAGAACGUCUUCUAGAGUAACUGCUAGAAGAGUGACGGUACUUGAGAAGAAAGCCCCGGCUA
rnacentral:rRNA from 1 species